CACACGCAGUGUCACCUCGCACCUGAACUCUACACCUUCUCCCACCUCCUCCCAAGACACCGGCAGUGUGGACACGAUGUCAAACAGCUCCUCGUCCGUCUCGGUGACAUCCAAGUCCUCCUCCUUGCCCAGCACCCGGUCCCCGCGGUGCCAGGGAGCGAACACCGCAGCCGGGGCCGUGUCUGUCUGUCCUCCAGCCCCGUCCUCAGCCCUUCUUAAGCUCCGCAGGAACCGCCCCCGCAGCCCCCCCGGCCCCGUGACCUCCCAGCCCGGGGGGUAUUUCCAGAAGGAGGUUCCUGAUUUUCUUCCAAGUUUGGCUCUUGCACAACACCCAGCGCUGCAGCCGAGGGCCGAGCUGCAGCCCCACACCCAGGGAGCCCCUGGCCCUGUGGGGCUGCAGGGGUCCCCAUCAUCCCCAGGAUGUGGCCACGGUCCCGUCCCUUCCCUGGGUCUCCCCAGGCUCCACCAUCCCCUGGGAGGCCCUGGAGAACCAGCCCUUGUUGUGCCCCAGGCACCAGCAGCUGAAUGAACCGUCGUGGGGCUGCAUGGGGUGUCUGUCUGUCUGUCUGCUGAGGGGCCGUCUUGGACCCCUGUCCCAAAAGCAUAGCCAGGAUGGACGAGACGUCCAGCCCAGGCUCAGCAGAGCUGCAAACAGCUUCUAUCACCAGAACAGCAUUUUUUCAGGGAUGUGUUUUCAGGGAUGGACACCGGUGUUCCUGGGAGGGUGGGUUUGAUGGUACAGGAGCAGAAAGUGUCGCCAUGUGGCAGGUUUGGCCACAUCCCCAGUGCCGGUUCUCUGAUCGGGCAGCUCUGGCAUCGCCUCCUCGCUCUCACCCAGCUCUCCAGGGAGAGAUGGGCACAGUUCUGCCCCAUCAAUCCCGCUGGGCACGGGCUGGGGCCGGGAUGGCGCUGAAGGGCCGAAGGGGGACGUAUGAACCCCGCACCCCGUCGCAGGCGGUGGAAAAUCAUUGCGGGACGCGGCCGUUUCCCAUCCGGGAUCUCUCCGGAGAGGAGCUCCGGGCAUCGGCGUCGCGCAUCCUUUCGGGAUGCCGGGUAAUCAAUCCUGGGAGGGAAGCGCUCUGUCAACAGCCGCCAUCAAAUGUGCACAUUCAGCUGAAGCCGGGUGAUUAAUGGCUCCGGGGUUUUUGUUCCUUCCAUCCUGUGUUAACAGAGCCGUUUCCCGGAGUUUCCAGUGGCCGUGGCACAGCCCUGGCUGGGACACGCGUGGCCGGGACACCCGUGCGGUUUCGCUUUCCCGUCCCGCUCCCACGGCCCCGACCGCACGAGGCCACGGUGACAGGCGAGCAGAGACCCCGGGGGGACGAUCCACCAUCCACAACUGUCUGUGGACGGGAAAGCACCAAGCAAUGAGCCGCUUCACUGUGGGAAGGAUCAUUCGUAAUGCCACCAAGUGAGAGUCUGAGGAAGGGAAACGCCGCCCUUACAGACCGCGGUCGCUGCCGCGGGAUUUCAGGUUAACAUGGUUAAAACAUGAUUCCCCAAGCCCUGGAAGGUGCCCUCGGCCGGGUCUGGAGCAGCUUCCAGCAAGGCCCUUGUGGCCAGGAAGCCAAUGGUACCUGGGGUGGGUUAGAAGGGGGUGGUCAGUAGGUCAGAGAGGUUCUCCUGCCCCUCUGCUCUGCCCUGGGGAGACCACACCUGGAAUAUUGUGUCCAGUUGUGGCCCCUCAGCUCCAGCAGGACAGGGAACUGCUGGAGAGAGUCCAGCGCAGCCACCAAGAUGCUGAAGGGAGUGGAGCAUCUCCCGUGUGAGGAAAGGCUGAGGGAGCUGGGGCUCUGGAGCUGGACAAGAGGAGACUGAGGGGGGACUCAUUCCUGGGGAUCAAGAUGGAAAGGGGAGUGUCAGGAGGAUGGAGCCAGGCUCUUCUGGUGACAACCAGUGACAGGACAAGGGGCAAUGGGUACAAACUGGAACACAGGAGGUUCUGCUUAAAUACGAGAAGGAACUUGUUUGGGGCGAGGGUGGCAGAGCCUGGCCCAGGCUGCCCAGGGGGUUGUGGAGUCUCCUUCUGUGCAGACAUUCCAACCCGCCUGGACACCUUCCUGUGUAACCUCAUCUGGGUGUUCCUGCUCCAUGGGGGGAUUGCACUGGAUGAGCUUUCCAGGUCCCUUCCAAUCCCUGACAUUCUGGGAUUCUGUGUGAUUCUGUGAAGGGCUCUCAAUGUGACGACUCAGGUGAGAAAAGAGAAACCCAAUAAAUCGGCGUCUGAAGCAGAGCUGAGCACUUAUGUUAAAAAGCAGCUUUUUCCCAGUCGUCAGGAAAUUAAGAGCUACCAGAAAGCCCAGCAUCUCACCAUGCAUUUCCUCCAGGUCACAUUUUCACCCUUCUGUCCCCUCGUCUCUCUGUCUCUCUGUCCCCCAUCCCUCUGUCCUUCCACCCCGGGGCGCACCGGCCGCCCCCGCGCCCCGAGCACACCAAAGGGGCCCACAGGUCACGGGCACAGGGUGGGAAGCACAAGCGCAGGCACCGGGACAGGUUUCCACCCAACAGGAAACCCCUGGGGUCAGAGCAGAGGGGACGGUGCUUUUCAAGAAGCAGAAGCCUGAACAUUUUUCCUGGAAGCCAACGGUGCUUCCCCCGUGGGGCUCUGGUGAUGCUCCGGCCACGGGCGCUCUCAGGAAACAAAUCAGCUCGGUGCGGACAGACAAACGGCGAGGGACGGACAGACAGCGAGGGACGAGCGCUGGCCCCAGGCAAAGCACUUCCCUGUGUCUCCAGAGAUGCGAAGUGACACUAAGCUCAAGUCUGGAGGAAGUCAUUACAAAAGGCAGCGCGUUGUACAGUAACUGGUUUGUGUUCCCAGCUCGCUGCAGGAUAUCCAUCAAACACCAGGUCCCAUCCAGGGCUGGGUUGGACCUAUUUGCACUUCUUGUGAUUGUAUUGUUCACCGAGUAUCAUCCUCAUCCACCACAGAAGUGUUUAAACAGUGAGAUAAGAUCUAAAUUAAGCCUGGCUGGAAAGGAAGGCACCGGAGCCUGGAUGGUAAAACCAGCCCCGGGCUGCGGCUCCGGUGGGAGAAGGAUGAGGACAGGACUUCAACACAACAGGAAAGCUGCAGUUUAAUAAAUAAUCCAUCAGAAGGAGAGAUUAGCCAGUCCUAAACACAACCAGAACCUAAAUAAAUACAUUGGAUCAUUUGCUUAUAAAAGAUACAGAAACGCAGGCAGCGGUGAACCCGGAGAGCGGAGGAGCCGCAACCAGCGUUCGCAGCCCAACCAGCGCGGAGAAGAGAAUGAAAAGCAGCGACAUAAAGAGUUGCGAUGUUGCAAAAGUGACGGCAAAAGAGGAAGCAAUGGUUUAAUGCAGGUUGUUUUUUAACGCAACAAUUAGAAACACAAUUAGUUUCAAGUCACUUGAACCGCUGCCAUGAACGCCGGAACUGCUGAUGGGCAAUUAAGCCAAUUUAUAUUGGGGGCAUUGCUGUUAUCCACCUGAUUUAUAAGUCUCUGCAGGGAAAUUGUGGGAAUACUGAUAUUAAACCGCCAGGCUCAGGCACGACACAGCGGAUCAAAGGGGUUUUAAGAAAAGGCUCUUUUAAAAAAAGCUGCAUUUCCAUAUAAAGUAACAAAAAAUUGGCAAAACCAGCGGGAUGCUCCGGACAGACGCUCCAGAACUCCCGGCCCUUCAGAACGAGACGUUCUUCAUUCGGGUCCGGUAAUUUCGGCUCCGUCGCUGCUUGGCCCAAGUCCUGUGGCACAGGCAGAGCAGUGGGGGGGUGACAUCCCUGCCUUUAGGUGACAUUGGUGCUGGUGGCAAAGCCUCAGUCGCAGGAACCAGCGGCAGCACCGGCGCCGAGCUCAGGCGCCAACAAAGUGACCAAAACACCUCCAGUCACCACUUGCAAACCGGGGGACGUCGGCAUCGCUGGCAACUCGGGUAUCGCAAUGUGACAAGGGUAGGAGGGAGAGGGAAUGGGACCAGACACAUCCGUUUCAAUAGACUAUUCAAUAAAGGACUUUAAAAAAUAUAUCUCUAUAUACUUUGUAUCAUAUAAAUUACGCUCGUCUUUUUGUCACGUUC